AUUGAACGCUGGCGGCAUGCCUUACACAUGCAGGUCGAACGGCAGCGGGGGAGAAGCUUGCUUUUCCUGCCGGCGAGUGGCGAACGGGUGAGUAAUACAUCGGAACGUGCCCUGUAGUGGGGGAUAACUAGUCGAAAGAUUAGCUAAUACCGCAUACGACCCGAGGGUGAAAGUGGGGGACCGCAAGGCCUCAUGCUAUAGGAGCGGCCGAUGUCUGAUUAGCUAGUUGGUGGGGUAAAGGCCUACCAAGGCGACGAUCAGUAGCUGGUCUGAGAGGACGAUCAGCCACACUGGGGCUGAGACACGGCCCAGACUCCUACGGGAGGCAGCAGUGGGGAAUUUUGGACAAUGGGCGAAAGCCUGAUCCAGCAAUGCCGCGUGUGUGAAGAAGGCCUUCGGGUUGUAAAGCACUUUUGUCCGGAAAGAAAUGGCUCUGGUUAAUACCUGGGGUCGAUGACGGUACCGGAAGAAUAAGGACCGGCUAACUACGUGCCAGCAGCCGCGGUAA
rnacentral:rRNA from 1 species